GAUGAAGAACGUAGCGAAAUGUGAUACUUGGUGUGAAUUGCAGAAUCCCGUGAACCAUCGAGUCUUUGAACGCAAGUUGCGCCCGAAGCCACUAGGCCGAGGGCACGCCUGCCUGGGCGUCACACGCCGUUGCCCCCCCAUCUACUCCUUCGGGAUUGCGGGGGGGCGGAUGAUGGCCUCCCGUGCGCCUAGCCGCGCGGUUGGCAUAAAUACCAAGUCCUCGGCGACGCACGCCACGACAAUCGGUGGUUGCGAAACCUCGGUUGCCCGUCGUGUGCGUUCGUCGCGCAUCGAGGGCUCGAAAAAAUGCUCGGCUCCGGCUGGGCUUUCAACGCGACCCCAGGUCAGGCGGGGUUACCCGCUGAAUUUAAGCAUAUCAAUAAGCGGAGGA
rnacentral:misc_RNA from 1 species